rnacentral:lncRNA from 1 species
UUAUAUUGAAAAGGAUCUGUUUGAACCUUUUUAUAAGUGAGGAUCUUCAGGCCCCAUCACAUAUCUGCUUACUCAGUCUGAAAAGAAUCCAGGGAUGGAGCCCAAGAAGCUGUUUUAAUGCCCUCUGCAGGUGAUUCUAGUGUCCUCCAAGUUUGAAAACUGCUGAUCUGUGAGCUUUAAUAUGACAAAAUACAUAUAAAAUUACUACUUUAAUCAGUUUUGCUUUUGUAUUUUAAAUAUACAUCCUAGUACUGUUCAUUGCUUCAUCAUUUAGCCAGUCUGCAAAGACUUUGCAUCUUGGAGACUUUGGGAUCAUACACACUCCCCUACUUACUGUUCUUUCUCUUAAAAUACCAUUCUACUUCUUGGUUGUGUCUGUGAGUUUGACUGUUCUAGGUACCUCAUAGAAGUGGAAGCAUGCAAUAUUUUUUUUAAGAUCUUUUAAAUAUCUAUGUCUGUGUGCAUGUAUUUGUACGUGUUGCUGAUGUCUGAGGAGACCAACGAGUGUGUCAGAUUCUCUGAAGCCAGAGUUAGAGGCAUUUGUGAGCUACCCAGCAUGGGUGCUAGGAACCUAACUUUAGUCCUCCGCAGGAGUAACAAGGGCUCUUAACUGCUGAGACAUCUCUCCAGGCCCAUGGAAUCAUGCAGUGUUUAUGACUGGUUUGUGUUCUCCAGGCUAUUGCAUGUCAGAAUUUGCUUAUUCUGUGGCUGAAUAAUAUCCACUGUGUUGCUGGCUGUAGGCCUUGAAAGCCAGUACUGUGGAGCUAAAAGUUGGUGGGAAAGAAAUAAGGUUUGUUGAAGGACUGGCAGCUUGGAAGACAGGGGAGGCUUUUAUGCUGCUACCUCUGACCUCCAUCCUGCUCCAUCUCUCCAAAAAAAAAUUGUUGGGAAUUGGAUGUAACAAAGGACUUUAGCACUAGUAUGGUUGGACAAACCUUUAAUCCCAGUACUCAAGAGACAGGCAGUCAGAUUAGUUCAAAAGCAACCUAUUCUACAUAGAAAAUGAUAAUUUAAAAGUGUAUUUUUAGAAGGACGCACAGGGGACAGUUGCAAGAAUAAUACAUGCUGGGCAGAGCCCUUAUCAUUUAUAGCAUUUGUCUCCCUUUUAUUUUUUUUUUCUUUUUUCUAAUCUGGGUGUAACAUUGUAAUGGACCUUUAACCUCCUGAAGAUCUUUAAACAGAAUUAUUUAAUUUUAUUUUGUUGAUGUGCAGUACCACAGGUUGAUCCCAGGGCCUACGUGUGCUAGGCAGGUGGUGUAGCAGCACCGAGGUGCAUCCCCAGCCUAACACACUAACCCUUGUGCAAGUUGAAUCUCAGCGGUUUGCAUGGUCUAUGUUAGCCGGUGCAUAAACUAAAGAUCUCAGCGGUUUGCAUGGUCUAUGUUAGCCGGUGCAUAAACUAAAGAAUAUGGAGAGGCAGUUAGAUAUUUGGGAGCAGUCUUAGCAUUAUCAGAUGCUUUGGCUUGAGGUUUCAUUUUGGUUAGGUUUGGUUUGGUUUAUAGCGCUAAGACUUAAACUCGGGGCCUCAUGCAUGGAUGGCAGGGGUGCUUUAUUAUGGCGUGCCAUCCUUUUUCACCCUUUGUUUUGAGAUAUUGUCUCAGUAAACUGUCCAGAUUUGCCUUGAAGUUUUGAUCCUUAACCCUCUUUUAACUUCUUAUUUUGGAAUAGGAUCUCACUAAGAUGCCUAUGCUAACCUUUGAACUCAUUCUGUUGUUAUGACGACAGGCUUUUAAUUUAUGAUCCUCCUCCCCUUAGCCCAUACCUUGAAUCACAGGCUUACACCAGCCCAGCUUAUUACCAAGCGUUCUGAGUGAUGCUGAAGUUAGGAUAUGUGUGGUGUGGUUCUGUAAAAGACACUGAAGACAUAGGUAGCAGGAGUGGGGUGGAGGUGGAGAGACAGCUCGGUUUAGAGCGCUUACUUCUCUUGCACAUGCCUAGAUUCAGUUCCCAGCAUCUACACGAUGCCUCGCUGCCAGCUGUAACUCCUGUUUCAUGGGUUCCAGUGCCCUUGUCUGGACUCCAUGUGCAGUGCACACAGAUAGUACGCCUGUGUGCAUGCUGGCAAAAUGCUCAUACCC